AGUGAACGCUGGCGGUAGGCCUAACACAUGCAAGUCGAACGGCAGCACAGUAAGAGCUUGCUCUUACGGGUGGCGAGUGGCGGACGGGUGAGGAAUACAUCGGAAUCUACUUUUUCGUGGGGGAUAACGUAGGGAAACUUACGCUAAUACCGCAUACGACCUACGGGUGAAAGCAGGGGAUCUUCGGACCUUGCGCGAUUGAAUGAGCCGAUGCCGGAUUAGCUAGUUGGCGGGGUAAAGGCCCACCAAGGCGACGAUCCGUAGCUGGUCUGAGAGGAUGAUGAGCGAGACGAGAGCUGAGACACGGACCAGCCUCAAACGGGAGCCAGCAGUGGGGAAUGGUGGAAUAUGGGCGGAAGCCUGAUCAAGCCAUACCGGGGGGAUGAAGAAGGGCUUCGGGUUGUAAAGCUCUUUUGAGGGUAAAGAAAAGAAGAAGGUUAACACCCCGCUGUUCUGACGGUACCAAAAGAAUAAGCACCGGCUAGCUUCGU
rnacentral:rRNA from 1 species